rnacentral:rRNA from 1 species
AGUCUGGCCUGCCCGGUGAGGAGAGUAAAAUCAUCUUAAACGGCCGCGGUAAUAUGUGCGAAGGUAGCUCAAUUUACUUGCCCUUUAAUUGUGGUGCUAUGUGAAUGGCAAGACGAGAGUCCAACUGUCUCGGCGUUGGUGAAAUGAAAAUGAAGUGCAGGUGAAGAUGCCUGUAUGGUGUGGGGGGAAGAGAAGACCCCGUGGAACUUUAGUGACAGUCUAUCAAGUUUUUAUAGAACACCCUUAAGUUUGGGUAAAAAAAAAACUUAAAAAAAUCUAGAUAACUCACAUUGGCUGGGGCAGCCAGGUAAGCAGAGAAUAUUACUGAAGAGACGGUAGAAGCGUGCUUGCUAUAAAGACCCACUGUGGUGAUCUUCGGAAUUAGUUACCCCGGGGGUAACAGACUAAUCUCGCUCUGAGAGGACGUAUUGAUGAGCGGGUUUGGCACCUCGAUGUUGCCUCAGGAUGUCCUGGAGAUGCAGGAGUCUCUAAGGGUUGGUCUGUUCGCCCAUUAAAAUCC